GUAACUUGUACGCGAGUCAAAGGGUGAAAAACCCCAAGGCGCAAUGAAAGUAAAGGUCGGUUAACCGACUGAGAUGGGAUCCGUUUCGUUUUGAAGCGGCGCACCAUGGACUUGUCUUGUCUGCUGGGGCAGCGGUAGAGCGUACAGGUUGCGACCUGAAAGAUGGUGAACUAUGCCUGAGCAGGACGAAGUCAGAGGAAACUCUGGUGGAAGUCCGUAUCGGUUCUGACGUGCAAAUCGAUUGAUAGACUUGGGUAUAGGGGCGAAAGACUAAUCGAACCAUCUAGUAGCUGG
rnacentral:ncRNA from 1 species